rnacentral:rRNA from 1 species
CCUACGGGUGGCUGCAGUAAGGAAUAUUGGUCAAUGGAGGAAACUCUGAACCAGCCAUCCCGCGUGAAGGAUGAAGGGGCUCUGCCUUGUAAACUUCUUUUGUCUGGGGCGAAAAAGCUCGAUUUAUCGAGAACUGACGGUACCAGAAGAAUAAGCACCGGCUAACUCCGUGCCAGCAGCCGCGGUCAUACGGAGGGUGCCGGCGUCACCGGGAAUAACUGGUGUGUAGGCGGCUUUGUAAGUCAGAGGUGAAAUGCUGUGGCUUAACCAUGGAAUUGCCAUUGAUACUGCAGAGCUUGAAUGAGGUUGAGGUUGGCGGAAUGUGACAUGUAGCGGUGAAAUGCUUAGAUAUGUCAUGGAACACCGAUUGCGAAGGCAGCUGACUGGACCUAUAUUGACGCUGAGGCACGAAAGCGUGGGGAGCGAACAGGAUUAGAUACCCUAGUAGUC